GGUUAAGCGACUAAGCGUACACGGUGGAUGCCCUGGCAGUCAGAGGCGAUGAAGGGCGUGCUAAUCUGCGAUAAGCGCCGGUAAGGUGAUAUGAACCGUUAUAACCGGCGAUACCCGAAUGGGGAAACCCAGUGUGACUCGUCACACUAUCAUUAACUGAAUCCAUAGGUUAAUGAGGCGAACCGGGGGAACUGAAACAUCUAAGUACCCCGAGGAAAAGAAAUCAACCGAGAUUCCCCCAGUAGCGGCGAGCGAACGGGGAGGAGCCCAGAGCCUGAAUCAGCAUGUGUGUUAGUGGAAGCGUCUGGAAAGGCGCGCGAUACAGGGUGACAGCCCCGUACACAAAAGCGCAUGUGCUGUGAGCUCGAUGAGUAGGGCGGGACACGUGGUAUCCUGUCUGAAUAUGGGGGGACCAUCCUCCAAGGCUAAAUACUCCUGACUGACCGAUAGUGAACCAGUACCGUGAGGGAAAGGCGAAAAGAACCCCGGCGAGGGGAGUGAAAAAGAACCUGAAACCGUGUACGUACAAGCAGUGGGAGCCCCACCACCAAAGCAUUCUCUGGUGUUGAAGGCCCUGCAAAGCAGCAUCGCGGUGGCGGAGCGUCGUUUGCGACGCCCAACACACAAAACAAGCGGUGAGUGCUUUGGGGUGGGGUGACUGCGUACCUUUUGUAUAAUGGGUCAGCGACUUAUAUUCUGUAGCAAGGUUAACCGUAUAGGGGAGCCGGAGGGAAACCGAGUCUUAACCGGGCGUUAAGUUGCAGGGUAUAGACCCGAAACCCGGUGAUCUAGCCAUGGGCAGGUUGAAGGUUGGGUAACACUAACUGGAGGACCGAACCGACUAAUGUUGAAAAAUUAGCGGAUGACCUGUGGCUGGGGGUGAAAGGCCAAUCAAACCGGGAGAUAGCUGGUUCUCCCCGAAAGCUAUUUAGGUAGCGCCUCGUGAAUUCAUCUCCGGGGGUAGAGCACUGUUUCGGCUAGGGGGCCAUCCCGGCUUACCAACCCGAUGCAAACUGCGAAUACCGGAGAAUGUUAUCACGGGAGACACACGGCGGGUGCUAACGUCCGUCGUGAAGAGGGAAACAACCCAGACCGCCAGCUAAGGUCCCAAAGUCAUGGUUAAGUGGGAAACGAUGUGGGAAGGCCCAGACAGCCAGGAUGUUGGCUUAGAAGCAGCCAUCAUUUAAAGAAAGCGUAAUAGCUCACUGGUCGAGUCGGCCUGCGCGGAAGAUGUAACGGGGCUAAACCAUGCACCGAAGCUGCGGCAGCGACACUAUGUGUUGUUGGGUAGGGGAGCGUUCUGUAAGCCUGUGAAGGUGUGUCGUGAGGCAUGCUGGAGGUAUCAGAAGUGCGAAUGCUGACAUAAGUAACGAUAAAGCGGGUGAAAAGCCCGCUCGCCGGAAGACCAAGGGUUCCUGUCCAACGUUAAUCGGGGCAGGGUGAGUCGACCCCUAAGGCGAGGCCGAAAGGCGUAGUCGAUGGGAAACGGGUUAAUAUUCCCGUACUUGGUGUUACUGCGAAGGGGGGACGGAGAAGGCUAUGUUGGCCGGGCGACGGUUGUCCCGGUUUAAGCGUGUAGGUGUGUGUUCCAGGUAAAUCCGGUUCACUUUAACACUGAGGCGUGACGACGAGGCACUACGGUGCUGAAGCAACAAAUGCCCUGCUUCCAGGAAAAGCCUCUAAGCAUCAGGUAACAUCAAAUCGUACCCCAAACCGACACAGGUGGUCAGGUAGAGAAUACCAAGGCGCUUGAGAGAACUCGGGUGAAGGAACUAGGCAAAAUGGUGCCGUAACUUCGGGAGAAGGCACGCUGACACGUAGGUGAAGUGAUUUACUCAUGGAGCUGAAGUCAGUCGAAGAUACCAGCUGGCUGCAACUGUUUAUUAAAAACACAGCACUGUGCAAACACGAAAGUGGACGUAUACGGUGUGACGCCUGCCCGGUGCCGGAAGGUUAAUUGAUGGGGUCAGCGCAAGCGAAGCUCCUGAUCGAAGCCCCGGUAAACGGCGGCCGUAACUAUAACGGUCCUAAGGUAGCGAAAUUCCUUGUCGGGUAAGUUCCGACCUGCACGAAUGGCGUAAUGAUGGCCAGGCUGUCUCCACCCGAGACUCAGUGAAAUUGAACUCGCUGUGAAGAUGCAGUGUACCCGCGGCAAGACGGAAAGACCCCGUGAACCUUUACUAUAGCUUGACACUGAACAUUGAGCCUUGAUGUGUAGGAUAGGUGGGAGGCUUUGAAGUGUGGACGCCAGUCUGCAUGGAGCCGACCUUGAAAUACCACCCUUUAAUGUUUGAUGUUCUAACGUGGACCCGUAAUCCGGGUUGCGGACAGUGUCUGGUGGGUAGUUUGACUGGGGCGGUCUCCUCCUAAAGAGUAACGGAGGAGCACGAAGGUUGGCUAAUCCUGGUCGGACAUCAGGAGGUUAGUGCAAUGGCAUAAGCCAGCUUGACUGCGAGCGUGACGGCGCGAGCAGGUGCGAAAGCAGGUCAUAGUGAUCCGGUGGUUCUGAAUGGAAGGGCCAUCGCUCAACGGAUAAAAGGUACUCCGGGGAUAACAGGCUGAUACCGCCCAAGAGUUCAUAUCGACGGCGGUGUUUGGCACCUCGAUGUCGGCUCAUCACAUCCUGGGGCUGAAGUAGGUCCCAAGGGUAUGGCUGUUCGCCAUUUAAAGUGGUACGCGAGCUGGGUUUAGAACGUCGUGAGACAGUUCGGUCCCUAUCUGCCGUGGGCGCUGGAGAACUGAGGGGGGCUGCUCCUAGUACGAGAGGACCGGAGUGGACGCAUCACUGGUGUUCGGGUUGUCAUGCCAAUGGCACUGCCCGGUAGCUAAAUGCGGAAGAGAUAAGUGCUGAAAGCAUCUAAGCACGAAACUUGCCCCGAGAUGAGUUCUCCCUGAGACUUAGAGUCUCCUGAAGGAACGUUGAAGACGACGACGUUGAUAGGCCGGGUGUGUAAGCGCAGCGAUGCGUUGAGCUAACCGGUACUAAUGAACCGUGAGGCUUAACCUU
rnacentral:rRNA from 1 species